rnacentral:tRNA from 1 species
GGACCCGUAGCUCAAUUAGCGGAGCAACCCGUUGUCUGCGGGAAGGCCGAGGGUGCAACUCCCUUCGGGUCCGCCA